AGGGGAAUAGCAGGGUCAAUUGGUGGUUCCAUUCCCAGCUUUCGAAGAAAUAUCCAUACUGCUUUCCAAAUUGGCUGCACCAAUUUGCAGUCCCACCAGCAAU
rnacentral:pre_miRNA from 1 species